rfam:Gossypium hirsutum cultivar TM-1 unplaced genomic scaffold scaffold732.1, whole genome shotgun sequence
UAUUAAAAAUUUUAUCUAUUUGUACAGUGUUAAAAAUUAACGUGGCUGAUAAAAUAACCAAACAGUGAGACAUAAUAUGUCAUGUGCACCUCAUGCUUACAGAAACUAGUUUUGAAUAGCAGAAAUAGAUAAAUUUUUUAACA